CGUACAACACUGAGUGGACUCUCCGUAUCGUAUUAAUUCCUUUAUGCGCAAUUCGUUUGUAAUUUAGUGCGAAUAAAGUGUAAGGAUCAAGACUGUGCAAUCAAUCAAAAUCCUUUAUCCACGACAGCGUUCUUUAUUUCGACGAAAUGAAAUUAGCACCCUGGAUAAAACAACGAUUCCACGAGCGAACGAAUGAAUCAUCCAUUAAAGUACCCGACGCAUCAAGUAGACGAGCAAAAACCUAUCUCGACAGGAGAAUCUCUUCUUCGAACCCUCUCCUUGCCCACCUUUACUCGACAUCAAAGGGUUCACGAAUUCCGGAAAUGCGCUUCUCGAAGGAUCCCCAGGCGCUCGCUCGAAAUUAGCGCGGAUUCGUCGACGUGGUGACGUUGGGAAACGCCUGGUUUGGAUUGGAAUCUUGUCAACAUCAUCAUGACGGCCGUGUCCCAUUACAGUGGCAAUGAAAAAUGCAACUACACGUCCUGCUUAAAUUAUACGCUAUACUUUUGCACGAACUCAUCGAUGGAUUCUUUCAUAUUCUACAAAAACUUCUUUCCGAGAAAAAUCGUUUUAAACUACCUCUAACCGAUGAAUCCACUUUAAGCGGUACAAGUUGCAACGUACCCCUUUAUCUUCAUCAUAGCUUUCAAGAUGUCAAAACGAUCUGCAAUAUAUGUACAAGUUACCUUCCCAGAAAGCUUGUUCGCCUUAAAAACUUCCAUCAGGGGAAUAACAAAAAUGUCUCGGCAUGUACAGCGUGUCUUGGUGAGUUAACAAAGUUUUAAAAGAGAUCAGAAUUGCCGGGUUGCCUGGCUCUUCGUUACCGCGUCCUUCUUUUUCCCUGCGAGACACACCCUUUCCUUUCCGCUUCCAUUAACCCUCCCCACUUUGCCGAUCCCUUCGUUGUUUCUCCGUUUCUUCGUUUGCUCGCGCGCGAUAAAGGCUCGCGUAAUUAUACACGGCCGCGAAUCAAUCCGUUCGAAACGUCACAGCCGUACGAUUACAGAAUAAUAACAGUGCCGGCUGUUCGUUAUCGCGCCACGGCUGGGUUUAAUGCAACCUGCCACGUGAACGAACGAAUUCCUGAUAAAACGGGGUCGACGUGUUACUUUUGAGGGAACGAACCCAUUUAUCUUUUCGCGGGACCGACUAGUCCUGAGUAUCCGAGAGAACUGCUUUAUAUCUGACGAUGCUUCCGGAAUCGCGAUCGCGAUCUCGAUGCUUUAUCCGAUACGAUCUGCUUAAACCUUCGUCCGUGUUGUGCCUCCUGUAGGAAAAACGCUUGACUAUGAGACUAGUCAUGAACGCUUUGAACGUAUUUCACGUAACGAGAACGAGGAAAUGCGUAAUCUCUGAUGAGUUAGGUUGCUGGAUUAGCAGGUGAAAAUUAUUUCCCGAGACGAUACCUGAGGCAUUAUUAUCGUAGUGUUUUGAAAUGUCGCGUAGUAUUUUUUAAAAAUGACUGUUUGAACGGACGAAAGACGAUCUUUGUAGACACAUACUCGUGUGUCAUAUAAAAAUGUAAUGGUUAACACAACAUAGUAAUAUCCAAUCUAACAUUAAUAAUAAUCAGUGCAUAAUAUUAAAAAUACUCUUGCUUUAAUUCUUUAAUAUCUGUGUUGCUAUUAACGGACACAUUGCGUUUUGACGACUUACUAUUUUAUUGAAUAUCCGUUGUCGUCUUCACAUCUGGCGAAGAAUGUUGUAUCGUCAUGAUAAGUACGUAUAUGGUAUCGUGACUGAGUAACUCUUUUACAGUUUUUUCAAGUAAUUAUCGAUAAGGUGAAGCUAAAU